rnacentral:rRNA from 1 species
UAGCCGUAAACGAUACUCGCUAGGUGUCGGCCACGGUGCGACCGUUGUCGGUCGCCGUAGGGAAGCCGUGAAGCGAGCCACCUGGGAAGUACGGCCGCAAGGCUGAAACUUAAAGGAAUUGGCGGGGGAGCACCACAACGGGUGGAGCUUGCGGUUUAAUUUGGAUUCAACGCCGGAAAUCUUACCGGGACCGACAGCGAACAUGAAGGCCAGGCUGAAGACUUUGCCGGAUUAGCUGAGAGGUGGUGCAUGGCGUAGUCGUG